rfam:Moheibacter sediminis strain CGMCC 1.12708 genome assembly, contig: Ga0171597_115
UAGGGUGGUUACAGCGGCAGGGCUCACCUCUUCCCAUUCCGAACAGAGAAGUUAAGCCUGCCUGCGCCGAUGGUACUGCGAAAGCGGGAGAGUAGGUCGCCGCCAGUC